rnacentral:rRNA from 1 species
AGUGAACGCUGGCGGUAGGCCUAACACAUGCAAGUCGAACGGCAGCACAGGAGAGCUUGCUCUCUGGGUGGCGAGUGGCGGACGGGUGAGGAAUACAUCGGAAUCUGCCCAGUCGUGGGGGAUAACGUAGGGAAACUUACGCUAAUACCGCAUACGACCUUCGGGUGAAAGAGGGGGAUCGCAAGACCUCUCGCGAUUGGAUGAGCCGAUGUCGGAUUAGCUAGUUGGCGGGGUAAUGGCCCACCAAGGCGACGAUCCGUAGCUGGUCUGAGAGGAUGAUCAGCCACACUGGAACUGAGACACGGUCCAGACUCCUACGGGAGGCAGCAGUGGGGAAUAUUGGACAAUGGGCGCAAGCCUGAUCCAGCCAUACCGCGUGGGUGAAGAAGGCCUUCGGGUUGUAAAGCCCUUUUGUCGAGAAAGAAAUCUUUCAGGCUAAUACCCUGGGAGGAUGACGGUACCCAAAGAAUAAGCACCGGCUAACUUCGUG